rnacentral:rRNA from 1 species
CCUACGGGGGGCUGCAGUGGGGAAUAUUGCGCAAUGGGCGAAAGCCUGACGCAGCGACGCCGCGUGAGGGAUGAAGGUCUUCGGAUCGUAAACCUCUGUCAGCAGGGAAGAACGGUCACUGUGCUAAUCAGCAGUGAAUUGACGGUACCUGCAAAGGAAGCACCGGCUAACUCCGUGCCAGCAGCCGCGGUAAUGCGGAGGGUGCGAGCGUUAAUCGGAAUUACUGGGCGUAAAGCGCUCGUAGGCGGUAUGUCAAGUCAAGGGUGAAAUCCCCGCGCUCAACGUGGGAACUGCCUUUGAAACUGGCAAACUGGAGUGUGUGAGAGGAUAGUGGAAUUCCAGGUGUAGGAGUGAAAGCCGUAGAUAUCUUGAGGAACAUCAGUGGCGAAGGCGACUAUCUGGCACAUAACUGACGCUGAGGAGCGAAAGCGUGGGUAGCAAACAGGAUUAGAUACCCCAGUAGUC